UCAUUUUUCCUUCUUUCUCAAAAAAUAAAAAGUUGAGAUACUCUCAAACUCUUAGCCCCCUCCCCGCAUCCGGGCAAAGAUCCGGCCGUUGACCACCGUCAUAGCCGCCGGUCACCGGCGACGGCGCCGCCGUACACGGUAGCCGGAGAACCAAUUUUUUUUUAUUUUUAGCCCGUUUUAAACCUAGGUUUUAGAUCUACAAGGCAAAUGCCUGAAAAGUAAAAAAAUGAAAAAGAUUCGACCUUUGCCUCCCUUUUUGCCGAUUCCAACGCCGGGGAAAAAGACCACCGACGGAGGAGCCACGGGCCGAUUCUGGUGUCAGAUGCGUUGGUGCAGACGAUGGCAGAGGCGUGCGAGUAGGCCGGCGUGCGCUGGAGGCGUGGCAGACGAGGAGGCCACGCAUGGAAGCUUGCGGCGCCAGGGCUUAGGGGAGGCAACUAGGGUUUGCUGAAAAUCUUUAAGUUUGUGGGCUUAGGGUUUCUGAUUUUUGGGCCUAUUGGGUUUGGGCUUGUAGUUCUGAUGGACUGUAAUUUUUUUUAUUUUUGGGUUGGUUGGUUUUGCUAGUGGGCCAGGCAGAAAAUGGGUCUUACAAAUUUUAAUUAUAAUUUAAAUAUAUAUUUAAAAUUUUAAUUUUAAUUUAAUUAUAGAAAUAAAUAUAUGUAAUCAUUUCAUGACAAUUCAUCAUAUAUGGUAAGCCAUUUGAAUAUCAAAACUCAAAUUUUGUAA